rnacentral:snRNA from 1 species
AUAGAAUUUGAACAUUUGCUUCCAUAAAUGCUCUGACCAGUUUAAUAUGUGACACGUUCUCUAUCUAAGAACUCCCUAUUCAAUGGAUUUUUGGAGCAGGGAGACGGAAUAGGAGCUUGCUCUGUCCACUCCACGCACCCCCCCCGGCAUUGCAGUGCUUCUAGGAAUGGUGCACCUCCC